rnacentral:rRNA from 1 species
ACAGCAGUCGCCGCGGGAAUACGUAGGGUGCAAGCGUUAAUCGGAAUUACUGGGCGUAAAGCGUGCGUAGGCGGCUUUUUAAGUCGGAUGUGAAAUCCCUGAGCUUAACUUAGGAAUUGCAUUCGAUACUGGGAAGCUAGAGUAUGGGAGAGGAUGGUAGAAUUCCAGGUGUAGCGGUGAAAUGCGUAGAGAUCUGGAGGAAUACCGAUGGCGAAGGCAGCCAUCUGGCCUAAUACUGACGCUGAGGUACGAAAGCAUGGGGAGCAAACAGGAUUAGAUACCCGGGUAGUCCCUGUCUCUUAUAA